rnacentral:tRNA from 1 species
UAUGGAAAAUAAAAAAGACUAAUUUUAGUUUUUAA